GACGAACGCUGGCGGCGUGCUUAACACAUGUAAGUCGAGCGGAAAGGCCCUUCGGGGUACUCGAGCGGCGAACGGGUGAGUAACACGUGAGUAAUCUGCCCUUCACUUCGGGAUAGCCAGCCGAAAGGCUGCUUAAUACCGGAUAUGACAUCUCCUCGCAUGGUGUGGGUGUGGAAAGUUGUUGCGGUUGGGGAUGUGCUCGCGGCCUAUCAGCUUGUUGGUGGAGUGAUGGCCUACCAAGGCUUCGACGGGUAGCCGGCCUGAGAGGGUGACCGGCCACAAUUGGACUGAUACACGGCCCAGACUCCUACGGGAGGCAGCAGUGGGGAAUCUUCCGCAAUGGACGAAAGUCUGACGGAGCAACGCCGCGUGAGGGAUGAAGGCCUUCGGGUUGUAAACCUCUGUCUUCAGGGAAGAAAGAAAUGACGGUACCUGAGGAGGAAGCCCCGGCUAACUACGUGCCAGCAGCCGCAGUAA
rnacentral:rRNA from 1 species